rnacentral:rRNA from 1 species
UACAGAGGGUGCGAGCGUUGUCCGGAAUCACUGGGCGUAAAGGGCGCGUAGGCGGCUUGAUAAGCGUGCGGUGAAAGCCCGGGGCUCAACCCCGGGUCGGCCGUGCGAACUGUCGAGCUGGAGCACUGUAGAGGCAGGUGGAAUUCCGGGUGUAGCGGUGGAAUGCGUAGAGAUCCGGAAGAACACCGGUGGCGAAGGCGGCCUGCUGGGCGAGUGGCUGACGCUGGAGGCGCGACAGCGUGGGGAGCAAACAGG